AUUGAACGCUGGCGGCAGGCCUAACACAUGCAAGUCGAACGAGUGGCGGACGGGUGAGUAAUGUCUGGGAAACUGCCUGAUGGAGGGGGAUAACUACUGGAAACGGUAGCUAAUACCGCAUACCAUCAGAUGUGCCCAGACGGGAUUAGCUAGUUGGUGGGGUAACGGCUCAACAAGGCGACGAUCCCUAGCUGGUCUGAGAGGAUUACCAGCCACACUGGAACUGAGACACGGUCCAGACUCCUACGGGAGGCAGCAGUGGGGAAUAUUGCAAAAUGGACGAAAGCCGGAUGCAGCAAUGCCGCGUGUAUGAAGAAGGCCUUCGGGUUGUAAAGUACGUUCAGCGGGGAGGCGGUAUCCGAAGAAGAAGCCCCGGCUAACUCCGUGCCAGCAGCCGCGGUAAUAC
rnacentral:rRNA from 1 species